rnacentral:rRNA from 1 species
AUUGAACGCUGGCGGCAUGCUUUACACAUGCCAGUCGAACGGCAGCGCGGGCUUCGGCCUGGCGGCGAGUGGCGAACGGGUGAGUAAUACAUCGGAACGUGCCCAGUCGUGGGGGAUAGCUCGGCGAAAGCCGGAUUAAUACCGCAUACGACCUGAGGGUGAAAGCGGGGGAUCUUCGGACCUCGCGCUAUUGUAGCGGCCGAUGGCAGAUUAGCUAGUUGGUGGGGUAAAGGCCUACCAAGGCGACGAUCUGUAGCUGGUCUGAGAGGACGACCAGCCAGACUGGGAGUGAGACACGGCCCAGACUCCUACGGGAGGCAGCAGUGGGGAAUUUUGGACAAUGGGCGAAAGCCUGAUCCAGCAAUGCCGCGUGUGUGAUGAAGGCCUUCGGGUUGUAAAGCACUUUUGGCGGGAACGAAAAGGACUGUGCCAAUACCACGGUUCGAUGACGGUACCCGCAGAAUAAGCACCGGCUAACUACGUG